rnacentral:lncRNA from 10 species
UAGUUGAGGGAAAGAGGGUUUUAGGGAGCCCUUCUCCUUGGAAUUCUAGGGAGAAGACAUCUUACUCUUAUUGGAUCAUGCACAGUGCCUGAAGCAUUCUGUUGCAUGUAGAAGUCAGUAAAUUGCAGAUGUAAGAUUCAAAACCAGACUUCACAUCUACCGACUUCAGUGACCCUGAAAUUUGUUCACAGAGAGCAUUUAACAUAACUGUCUUCAUCAUCUCCUUCUCUACAUUAAAAAUUAUGGAAUAUACAGGGAGGUGUGAUGUACCCAUUAUCACAAGCAGAUGGAAUCCCUAUAGAGUCGGAUCUCAUCUACAUAUCACCUAUUAUAUGUAGUUAUUGAUGGAUAAAUACUUCAACAACUAAAGGCAGAAAGAGAGCAGUUCACAAAGACGUUAUUGGUGAUUCAAUCUUGAGUCA